rnacentral:misc_RNA from 1 species
UUGUGGAGGAGGACGCCGAAGGUGGGGCUGAUGACUGGGGUGAAGUCGUAACAAGGUAGCCGUACCGGAAGGUGCGGCUGGAUCACCUCCUAACAGGGAGACAAACAUUGAUUAUGAUGUCUAAAUUUUAUUUUUAGGCCAUAAUCCUGUCACCUUAGGUCGAUCGGUACCUCAGAUUAAGAGUCAAAAAAUAUUUAUUUUUGGCUCUUUGAUUUCAGUUCCUAAACUUGUCUAGGUCACACCCAGUAAGGGUACUCCUGGGCCAUUAGCUCAGGUGGUUAGAGCGCACCCCUGAUAAGGGUGAGGUCCCUGGUUCAAGUCCAGGAUGGCCCAUUCGAUGUUGGGGGUAUAGCUCAGUUGGUAGAGCGCCUGCUUUGCAAGCAGGAUGUCAGCGGUUCGAGUCCGCUUACCUCCACUGAUCGAUAUCCUGAUUACUAACUCCAAGGGUAUUUACUUUCUUUACGUGACUUAGGCAUUUGCUAACUAAAUGAACCUAGCUUCAUAUCAUUCCAAUCCCUAUAUCCAAAAAUAUAGUGAAGGUUGAUAAGACGCUGGGCUCACUCCGAUUCAUAAAGAAUCUGGAGAUGUUCAGCAGAACCUUGACAACUGCAUAGGUAAGUCUGAAAAGAAUAAAGCAUCUCAUGGAUGCAUUAUUCAUUGAGCAAAUUUUUAUUUGUUGAAUGAAUAAUGUCUGAAUUCUUGAGCAAGAGCAAAGACUCCAUAAAACUUUUAUGGAGCUUAAUGGUCAAGCUACAA